rnacentral:rRNA from 1 species
AACUUCGGGAAAAGGAUUGGCUCUAAGGGUUGGGUGCGUCGGGCCUUGAUUUGAAGCACCGGGACCUAGCUUGAACUGACUGAGGGGCCUUCGGUUGGAGCUCGCCGGGACCUGGUUGUGGACGAUCUUGGCUGCCUUCACGGGCGUCUGGCGUACGCUUAACAACCAACUUAGAACUGGUACGG